rnacentral:rRNA from 1 species
AGGACGAACGCUGGCGGCGUGCCUCAAACAUGCAAGUCGAGCGGACGGAGACCGAACCGCAAGGGGAGGUUGAAGUUAGCGGCGAACGGGUGAGUAACACGUGGGUAACCUACCCUAAAGUCUGGGACAACGGCCCGAAAGGGCCGCUAAUACCGGAUAAUGUCUUCGGGUCGCAUGGCCUGGGGAAGAAAGCCGAAAGGCGCUUAUGGAUGGGCUCGCGUCCCAUCAGCUAGUUGGUAAGGUAACGGCUUACCAAGGCGACGGCGGGUAGCCGGUCUGAGAGGAUGGUCGGCCACACUGGGACUGAGAUACGGCCCAGACUCCUACGGGAGGCAGCAGUUGGGAAUAUUGGGCAAUGGGCGAAAGCCUGACCCAGCGACGCCGCGUGAGGGAAGAAGGCCUUCGGGUCGUAAACCUCUGUCAUCGGGGACGAAGAAAGUGACGGUACCCGAGGAGGAAGCCCCUGCUAACUACGUG